CGCCUCUCCGUGCGCUCUCCAGUCCUUUCAGGCGCUCAAUCCCGGCCAACGCUGGCAUCACUGAAGACCUGACAUCGCAGGGAACCGGACGUCCGCGCUGCUCUCCGCUCCCUGCAAUUGAUCGUCCAGGUUUUUAAUAUUAGACAAACUUUUAUCUCCCUGCAACGAGGCUGAUGAAGCGCUCCUGACGGCGCACAACGAACGCGGCUUUCACCGCUGGAGGAGACUUUUUGCUGUCGAGACGAGGGGAAUGCAGACGGCGAGACAACAACACCCACAAGUUAUUUAAAUAAAUUAUCAUGAAACGAACUGACUGGGGGAAGAAACUGAAGAUAAUUCACAGUGUUGGUUUUCACCAAAGAGGAGAGAAAGGGAAGCAGACCCCAAAUAAAGUCGCGAGCUGUGAACAGCAGACUAUCAGGUCCAGACAUGAAGAAGGCACGAAAGCAUCCACACAAGCGCAGUGCAAUGGCACCUAGAGGCUGUCUGCGGUCUACCACUAUCAUGCUCGCACACACACGCACACACACACACAGACCCACGCAGCCAAAGCCUUUUACAGUAAGGAUCAAGAGACCACCGAGUCAGGGUGAUAAUAAGAUUUAAGAAAAAAUAUUCCUAUUGUCCUUGUGCUUUCUUCUUUAACUUUAAGGAUAAGUUCUUAUUUUUAAAUGUGGAAUUUAUAGAAGAAAAGUAAUUAACAGCCAUAUAUAGUAAAAAAAAACAAGCAAAUUAGAA